CGCACUCAUACCCGCAGAUGAAUUCUCACUUCAGUAUGUAACAAUUGAUGUCGCCAUACAAUCCAUUAUCUCAUCUGGUAGUCACCCCUGGCUCAGCAAAAUGGACAUCACAAAUGCUUUUAAAUUACUACCCAUGCACCCCUCACUCUGGCACUUGCACGGUGUUAAAUGGCGAGAAAAGUACUACUUCUCCACACGACUCACUUUCGGUUCUCGAAGCAGCCCCAAACUGUUCGAUAUCUUUGCCGAGACGCUAUGCUGGCUGCUUCUGAACGUCCUCAGGUGUAACUCUGUUAUCCAUUACUUAGACGACUUCUUACUGAUAGAGCCAGGGGUACAAACACCCACCACUAUCAGCAGUACUACAGCACUUUUUUCCACACUUGGUGUACCAUUAUCUCCAUCAAAAACAAUCGGCCCCACAACUAAAUUAACCUUUUUGGGGAUAGAGCUAGACUCUGUUACCCUCCGAGAUAGCCUUCCCCACGACAAACUGAUCCGCUAGAGAGGGGAGAUAGACAUGUUACUGUGGAAU